rnacentral:rRNA from 1 species
AACGAACGCUGGCGGCAUGCCUAACACAUGCAAGUCGAACGGGAUCCUAGCUUGCUAGGUGAGAGUGGCGGACGGGUGAGUAACACGUGGGAAUCUGCCUUUUUGGUUCGGGAUAACCGCGGGAAACUGCGGCUAAUACCGAAUGCCCUCGAGAGAGGAAAGAUUUAUCGCCAGAAGAGGAGCCCGCGUCCGAUUAGGUAGUUGGUGGGGUAAAGGCCUACCAAGCCCGACGAUCGGUAGCUGGUCUGAGAGGAUGAUCAGCCACACUGGGACUGAGAUACGGCCCAGACUCCUACGGAGGCAGCAGUGGGGAAUAUUGGACAAUGGGGGCAACCCUGAUCCAGCAAUGCCGCGUGAGUGAUGAAGGCCUUA